rnacentral:rRNA from 1 species
GACGAACGCUGGCGGCAGGCCUAACACAUGCAAGUCGAGCGAGCGGCGGACGGGUGCGUAAUGUAUGGGGACUGCCCGAUAGAUGGGGAUAACUACUGGAAACGGUAGCUAAUAACGCAUUCUAUCUGCUAACCCAUAUGGUAUUAGCUAGUUGGUGAGGUAAUGGCUCACAAAGGGGACGAUCCCUAGCUGGGCUGAGAGGAGGAUCAGCCACACUGGGACUGAGACACGGCCCAGACUCCUACGGAGGCAGCAGUGGGGAAUAUUGCACAAUGGGCGAAAGCCUGAUGCAGCCAGGCCGCGUGUAUGAAGAAGGCCCUAGGGUUGUAAAGUACUUUCAGUAGGGAGGCGUUACCGACAGAAGAAGCACCGGCUAACUCCGUGCCAGCAGCCGCGGUAAUAC